AGCGAACGCUGGCGGCAGGCCUAACACAUGCCAGUCGAACGAACUCUUCGGAGUUAGUGGCGGACGGGUGAGUAACACGUGGGAACGUGCCUUUAGGUUCGGAAUAACUCAGGGAAACUUGUGCUAAUACCGAAUGUGCCCUUCGGGGGAAAGAUUUAUCGCCUUUAGAGCGGCCCGCGUCUGAUUAGCUAGUUGGUGAGGUAAAGGCUCACCAAGGCGACGAUCAGUAGCUGGUCUGAGAGGAUGAUCAGCCACAUUGGGACUGAGACACGGCCCAAACUCCUACGGGAGGCAGCAGUGGGGAAUCUUGCGCAAUGGGCGAAAGCCUGACGCAGCCAUGCCGCGUGAAUGAUGAUGGUCUUAGGAUUGUAAAAUUCUUUCACCGGGGACGAUAAUGACGGUACCCGGAGAAGAAGCCCCGGCUAACUUCGUG
rnacentral:rRNA from 1 species